rnacentral:sRNA from 1 species
GCUGGGUGCAGUGGCUCACACCUGUAAUCCCAGCGGCUUGGGAGGUGGAGGCAGGAGGAUCGCGAGUUCAAAGCCAGCCUCAGCAAUUUAGCGAGGCGCUGAGCAACUCAGUGAGACCCUGUCUCUA